rnacentral:rRNA from 1 species
AGAGUUUGAUCCUGGCUCAGAACGAACGCUGGCGGCAUGCCUAACACAUGCAAGUCGAACGCGGGACUUCGGCCCUGAGUGGCGCACGGGUGAGUAGCGCGUGGGAACCUGCCCUUCAGUGGGGGAUAACCGAGGGAAACUUCGGCUAAUACCGCAUGCGCCCGGAGCAAUCCGGGGAAAGAUUUAUCGCUGAAGGAGGGGCCCGCGUCGGAUUAGCUAGUUGGUAGGGUAACGGCCUACCAAGGCGAUGAUCCGUAGCUGGUCUGAGAGGAUGAUCAGCCACACUGGGACUGAGACACGGCCCAGACUCCUACGGGAGGCAGCAGUGGGGAAUAUUGGACAAUGGGCGAAAGCCUGAUCCAGCAAUGCCGCGUGAGUGAGGAAGGCCUUAGGGUUGUAAAGCUCUUUCGGCGGGGACGAUGAUGACGGUACCCGCAGGAGAAGCCCCGGCUAACUUCGUGCCAGCAGCCGCGGUAAUACGAAGGGGGCGAGCGUUGUUCGGAUUUACUGGGCGUAAAGGGCGCGCAGGCGGCCAUUUUUGUCGAGUGUGAAAGCCCCGGGCUUAACCUGGGAACCGCGCUCGAAACGGGAUGGCUAGAGAUCGGGAGAGGAGAGUGGAAUUCCCAGUGUAGAGGUGAAAUUCGUAGAUAUUGGGAAGAACACCGGUGGCGAAGGCGGCUCUCUGGACCGAUACUGACGCUGAGGCGCGAAAGCGUGGGGAGCAAACAGGAUUAGAUACCCUGGUAGUCCACGCUGUAAACGAUGUGUGCUAGACGUUGGGGAGCCUAGCUCUUCGGUGUCGCAGCUAACGCGGUAAGCACACCGCCUGGGGAGUACGGCCGCAAGGUUAAAACUCAAAGGAAUUGACGGGGCCCGCACAAGCGGUGGAGCAUGUGGUUCAAUUCGACGCAACGCGAAGAACCUUACCAGCCCUUGACAUGU